AUGUUGGUGUGUGUACCCAACCGUGUGUGUGUGUGUGUGUGUGUGUGUGUGUGUGUGUCCCUCUCUGUAGACCCUAAGCCUCAGGAGAAAAGACGCCCCCCCCACCACCGCUCCAUCCUACGGUCUCCCAGCAACAGCCACGCACCCUCCCGCCCCCCACUCUCACCCCCUUCCUCUUCCUCUUCCUCAUCUUCCUCCAUGUGUGCAGUGGGCUCCUGUCCCCUCCCGGCCUCCGUCACUAUGACAGGCCUCAGCUGUCCAGACUUUCAGGCUGGAGCACCCAGUUCAGCGAGUUGGUCCAGAAUGCCUUUCCCCAUGCGUCCCGGGCGUGUAGGGAAAGGAUGCCGGACUCUCACAAUCAAUCAUCACCCUGCAGAGGCCUGCACAGAGACUGCAAAACACUUGGGGCCUGAACACAUCCUUUCCUCUCUCAAAUUGAGCAAGUGUGAACUGCAACCUCACAUGAGCCGCAUCCCGAUCCGGAGAUUGGGAUCGACUGAAACCCCUCCUGCACAUGACAGUAAAACAUCCCCUGCCAGCAUUAACCCAGUCUCAUCAGGAGAUAACGAGGAGUCAGCCACCAUGAAGGUCUGGAAGCUGCUUAGACCGGGCCUCCAUCGACACCUGUCACUUUCAGGCAUGUACACAUACACAUGUUGCUGUGCUACUAAAUCUGUUCGGCCCAGAGAAAGUGAAUAUGUGACAUACAGUGUUUUGCAAAUGUAUCAUCUAAUAAAAGAUUUACAUGGCCCU
rnacentral:lncRNA from 1 species